CGGACAUGUCGGGUUUAUCACGGCUAAUAAUGCCACUUACAAAUUUUAGAUUACUAUUUCAAUUUUAUAAAUGGCAAAAUUAUCGUUUACUUUCACCGUCCGCUAUUUUAAAAAAGCUUGUUUUCAAAUGCAGUUCGAGUAAAACAGAUGUGUUUUGUGAGUGCAACGGCCGUUGAAAUUUCUACUGUCUGGUUUGAGACAUAUUAUUACUUGAUACAGGUAUCACUAAUCUCGGGACCAAAAAGGAAAAAAUGGUAUUGCCACAUUGCAAUGAAUGCGUUGGUCAGCAGGUGGUCAGCAGGUAUACCCUGAAUACAUAAUAAUAUGUGAUACAUGUAUGGAAAGUUAAAAGAUUGGAAAACAUUCUAAGUUCCACAAAGCUCCAACAACAUGGUUAUUUUUCAGUUGCAACUGAUCUCUAUUAAAUUUAUGAGGAACGGUAAACGGUUCCUAAAUUGUGAUAAGGUUCCAGUUAAUAUAAUGUUCGUAACUUUUUACAUCGUUUUUUUAUUCGUAUUACUUCGUGUCCUAAGAAGUAGUAUUUACCUAAACGGUAUCUUAUUAUUUAUUUAGACUUAUUGGGUUAACAGUACUUCUAAAGACAUCCGUAUAACCGGCUAAAGAUAUUAUAUCCUAUUUAUAUUUUGCGAAACUUUAAUUUAUCGUUUAUUUCUUAUUUCUUAUUCUUUCAUAGACAUAAACAUGGACAUAUUCAAUAUAGUUUUGUUCACAAUUAAAAAGUAUAAGUGGCACCCGUUUUAGGCUUAGUUCGAAGAACUAGCCUGUAUAUACAGGCACCAGCUUCUCCCUAAGUCAUUUGAACUUUUAUAAAACAAAAAACUUGAAAAGUGAGCUAGUUAGAUAUAUAAAUGGUAUGUGCAAGCAUAUUAUACAAAUAUGAUUAUUAAAUAAAUAUAAAAAAUUUUAAAUUUAUGAGUAAUGUGUGUGU